rnacentral:rRNA from 1 species
UACGUAGGGGGCAAGCGUUGUCCGGAAUUAUUGGGCGUAAAGAGCGUGUAGGCGGUCCGAUAAGUCCGCUCUGAAAGCCCGGGGCUCAACCCCGGGAGGCGGGCGGAUACUGUCGGGCUAGAGUCCGGAAGAGGCAAGUGGAAUUCCUGGUGUAGCGGUGAAAUGCGCAGAUAUCAGGAGGAACACCGAUGGCGAAGGCAGCUUGCUGGGACGGUACUGACGCUGAGACGCGAAAGCGUGGGGAGCAAACAGG